UUUUAAAAUUUGAAGCGUGUUGAUACAUUAUUUACAUUGUUAGAAUGUUUACUGACGUCAUCAACAAAACUCCUGCAACACAGACGUGAAAAAACAGAACAGAACGGAACAGAGAACAGUCAGCAACCAACAAUUUGAAAGAGAACAUAAUUUUAUAAGAUGGAAAAAAACUUCACAGUUAAUGCAAACAGCACCAAAGUCAACAUAUCUCGGGUUGUACUUGUUGUAUUCGGAAGCGUAUGGCUGGCUUUUGCUGCAUUGAUUAUUCUAUUAAUCAUAUAUCAAGUGAUAAGAAGAAUUUAUAAGAAAUAUAAGUAAGUACUCUUGCAUACUGGUUCAAAACAUUUAUGAUGGACUACUCCUGAAUUACCACCGUAUUCGACACUGAGUACGAUAAGUGGAAUUAAUUCCACCACUAACAGCAUAUCACCGACAAUUUUGACACGAGAAGAAGAAAAACCAAAAGAUUUCUACUUAGGAUGUCUCGCUGCGACAGGGGUUGCGCUAGUGUUCAUGUUUUUCGGAUUAUUCUUCAUAUAUAUACCGGAUAUAAUGGCGUGGAUGCAUGGAACCAACAACAUAAAGAACUGAAAACCUCCUCCCCCUUUGGACUGUUGAUGAAAAGGGAAGAGUCGAUCAACAUCACCAAUACAUUUCACAUGAGCACAAGAACUACCCUAGCCAACGCAAGUACCAGCAGAAAAAAAUUUCAUCCACGAAGAAGACAACGCAGUCAUCUCUGCCUGUUAUGAUGAACCUAUAAUUGACAUCAACGAAGACUGUUACCCUCAGAGAAUAAUGGCUACAUGUUGCGACAAGCAGUAAAAUGAGUCCCAAAUCGUACUCAAGUUCGAUCUACGGGGGAUCGGUCCAGCCUAGGGAACACCGGCAGCUCGUUGAGCCCAGGAGGCCUCCAACCCUGUAGUCGUACUUUUAGAAGAUCUUCUCUGAUAGUGAUGUUCACACCUAAAUGCUGUCAGAUAAGGAAGCCCUAUGUGGCUGCUACAAUUUUUCAAGCUGAUUUGUCGUCGGCUGCACGUGGCCAUCAUGUAAUCGAGUAGGGUGCAGUCUUCGUCAGCAACUCACGACUGUGGUCUCAGCAGUGCACGGGAGAUUCCAUCUAGGUCGUCUCAGGUAUGGUGGAAGACCACUCCAAGCCACGAGCGCGUUAAUCGCACCCGGAGUGAGCUAUAUUGGAACUCUUGUGCGCUUUUGGGAAAACAACGUGACGAUGUUAUGAAUCUGCAAGAAGCUUGCUUCUAAGCAACAUUAUCGCCAGCAUUGUUAGCAAAAACCAGAUUAUAACAAGAAUACGCUACUACAAAUAUACAAAAUUUGGACAUCGUUAAUCAAAAUUCCCACCCCUAGUACUAUUCGAGGACCAUCUAAAACUCAUGAGCCUACUCAACCCAAAGUCGUCAUAAUUGAUUUUCAUAUAAUCCACUCAUCUUUGUGUCGAUGUUGAAAGUGAUAGCUUUCGAAAUAAUGCAUAUCCAAAAUAGUUAAGUUCACGUCUCGUUUCUGCAAUCCUGGCUACAUGACCAGCCCAUCGUAACCUGCUUAUUACUUACUGUCAACUAGAGCGGGGAGGAUGUCUGAAAUGUCGGUAAACUACCAGACGACACGGCGCCAGCUUCGUACUCACCGCCGUGAGAACCCCAAAUCCUACUUAGUUCAUAAUUUAUCAAAUUCCUGCCUAUUUUUCUUUACAUUCCAUCUUUCUUAGUCCUAAUGUUUAACAGUAAUUUGUUUCACGAUUUAUUUUCCGCAAUAAGUAAUAUAAUUGCAGCUGAAAGCAAUAGAAAUUCUGACCAGAACAACAUUCAACACUAAGACAAACUAAGCAAUAAUACAAAUAUUAACUAAAUUGUAUUUAAUUGUCUUAUUAUAAACAAAAUUACUUGCACAUUUGUUAAGACUCAAACUCUGUGCAUUAGGAAUGGAAGGUUUUUGAGCUCUGUCAGAAACAUCUAAUAAUAUAACAUAAACUAAUACAUGUUUCCUUUGUAAGCAUUACUUUCGUCGUUUGAAACAAAACAGGUUCCAGUAACAGGUCACAUCAUGAGAGUAUGCUUAUAUUUCUUUAAUUACAAUCCGAAAAUGGAUAGAUAUGUAAUUUUGUGAUUAAACUUUUGACGUAAAUACGUCUAUACGGAAGGGUAAUUCGGUAAAAGACUGUAACGAAAAUGUGUAAACCAAUAUCAACAAAUCGACAACAAUGGUUACCUAGGAAACGUCAUCUACUCGGCAUUGUUAACUAGGAAACAUAAUCUGUUUAUUCGGCAUUGUUGUUACCUAGGAAACGUCAUUGUUUAUUCGGCAUUGUUGUUAUCUAGGAAAAAUUAUUUACACAUUGUUGAUUCGAUACACAUCUUCGUUACGCUUUUUUGCCGAAUGGCCCUUCCGUAUAGACGUAUUUACGUCAAAAGAAACACGUAAAUGUAAAUUUAAUAAACUGUAUUUUCAAGCAUGCAGAGCUAUAUAUUGUAUAGUUAUUGUGAGGAAAAUCUGUGGGAAUAAAAUGGUUAUACUACAUUCAA